GGGUUGGGCUGUUCGCCCAUUAAAGUGGUACGCGAGCUGGGUUCAGAACGUCGUGAGACAGUUCGGUCCCUAUCCGUCGCAGGCGUAGGAAAUUUGAGAAGACCUGUCCUUAGUACGAGAGGACCGGGAUGGACGUACCUCUGGUGUACCAGUUGUCCUGCCAAGGGCAUGGCUGGGUAGCUAUGUACGGAAUGGAUAAGCGCUGAAAGCAUCUAAGCGCGAAGCCAACUUCAAGAUAAGAUUUCCCACCGCAAGGGUAAGACCCCAGAAAGACUAUCUGGUUGAUAGGUCGAAGGUGUAAGUGCAGCAAUGUAUUUAGCUUAUCGAUACUAAUAGGUCGAGGACUUGACCAAU
rnacentral:rRNA from 1 species